UACGGAGGAUGCGAGCGUUAUCCGGAUUUAUUGGGUUUAAAGGGUGCGUAGGCGGACGCUUAAGUCAGCGGUAAAAUUGCGGGGCUCAACCUCGUCGAGCCGUUGAAACUGGGUGCCUUGAGUGGGCGAGAAGUACGCGGAAUGCGUGGUGUAGCGGUGAAAUGCAUAGAUAUCACGCAGAACUCCGAUUGCGAAGGCAGCGUACCGGCGCCCUACUGACGCUGAAGCACGAAGGCGUGGGUACCGAACAGG
rnacentral:rRNA from 1 species